UCCGACAGCUGAUCGUCCGGGACUUGAAAGGCGUUGGUAGGCUGAUCACCCUAAGCCCACAAAGGGUCUUAGCCCUGUACCCCUAAACGGUUUCAGGGAAGAGGGAACUGACGUCUGAGGGCCCAGUGGACCGUCACUGCUGGAUUCCUUAAAAGAACCAGGAAAACGCGUGCUGAAAACGAUUCACGAACGCAUGGCCGAGCCGCCCUAUAGGUUUCACGGGUUAGUGAAAAAGGGUAUUGUCUGCGAGUAAGCA